CCUACGGGAGUCAGCAGUGGGGAAUAUUGCACAAUGGGGGAAACCCUGAUGCAGCAACGCCGCGUGAGUGAUGACGGCCUUCGGGUUGUAACGCUCUGUCUUCAGGGACGAUAAUGACGGUACCUGCGGAGGAAGCCACGGCUAACUACGUGCCAGCAGCCGCGGUAAUACGUAGGUGGCGAGCGUUGUCCGGAUUUACUGGGCGUAAAGGGGGCGUAGGCGGACUUUUAAGUGAGAUGUGAAAUACUCGGGCGCAACUUGAGUGCUUCAUUUCAAACUGGAAGUCUAGAGUGCAGGAGAGGAGAAUGGAAUGCCUGGUGUAGGGGGGAAAUGCGUAGAGAUUAGGAAGAAAACCAGUGGCGAAGGCGA
rnacentral:rRNA from 1 species